UACAGAGGUGCCAAGCGUUAGGCGGAAUCACUGGGCUUAAAGCGCGUGUAGGCGGGUCGUUAAGUGUCCGAGUGAAAUCCCACGGCUCAACCGUGGAACUGCCGGGCAUACUGGCGAUCUUGAGGCAUUCAGGGGCGAGCGGAACAAAUGGUGGAGCGGUGAAAUGCGCAGAUAUCAGGAGGAACACCGGUGGCGAAGGCGGGACUCUGGGCCGAUACUGACGCUGAGGAGCGAAAGCGUGGGGAGCAAACAGG
rnacentral:rRNA from 1 species